GAAAUGCACUGGGAAGGGGGACUUAGAUACUAACACAAGUUCAAUUCAAGAAGCAUUUAUUGAACCGUCCUCAUGAGCCAGGUCAGGGUGUUCAGCACUGAGCGUGUCAAGACGAAGACACAUAGCCUCUAAGUGUCCACCAUCUACAAUAGCUAAUGUUUAAUUGUCCUUAAAAGUUGAAGAAUGUUGACUGGAUUGUCUGCAAAUCAGUCAUGUGAGUAGUGUUAAUCUAAUGAAGAAGAAUCUUAAAAGACAAAUUCUCCAAAUGCUGCUGCUCCUGCAUCCUGCUGCUCUACCUGCUGUGGGGAGGAGGUGAGUGGAUGAUACCCAGCUUCCUUUCGUGGCAACAACACUUAAAAAGUAAGGCAUUGGGAAUUAGUGUUAAACAAGACACAAAAUGUGUGCUCUCAGGAAGAUCAUAUGCCAGUGCAGAGAGAUGAUAAACACGAAAUCCAAUAAAUACACAGUUUGUGCCAUGAAGAAAAUAAAACAAGCUGAUGAAAUUAUAA
ensembl:lncRNA VAV3-AS1 VAV3 antisense RNA 1